GAUGAACGCUGGCGGCGUGCCUAAUACAUGCAAGUCGAGCGAACAGAUAAGGAGCUUGCUCCUUUGAAGUUAGCGGCGGACGGGUGAGUAACACGUGGGUAACCUACCUAUAAGACUGGGAUAACUUCGGGAAACCGGAGCUAAUACCGGAUACAUUUAGAACCGCAUGGUUCUAAAGUGAAAGAUGGUUUUGCUAUCACUUAUAGAUGGACCCGCGCCGUAUUAGCUAGUUGGUAAGGUAACGGCUUACCAAGGCGACGAUACGUAGCCGACCUGAGAGGGUGAUCGGCCACACUGGAACUGAGACACGGUCCAGACUCCUACGGGAGGCAGCAGUAGGGAAUCUUCCGCAAUGGGCGAAAGCCUGACGGAGCAACGCCGCGUGAGUGAUGAAGGGUUUCGGCUCGUAAAACUCUGUUAUUAGGGAAGAACAAAUGUGUAAGUAACUGUGCACAUCUUGACGGUACCUAAUCAGAAAGCCACGGCUAACUACGUG
rnacentral:rRNA from 1 species